rnacentral:lncRNA from 1 species
GUGAAAAGUCCUUUUCAUCCAUACUGGCCCACAAGUACACCGCAGAGUGUGAUCUUUCUUCAAGACCCAAGAUGAUGUCUGACACUAAUGGAGGAUCUCAGGCAUUGGAGAUCACCUGGGUGGAGCCUGCCUCCCUGGAUCACCCUAUUGUUCUGCCACUGCUGCUACCUGCUGCCUAGCUGUUCCGGGAGCCUACACGUGCUCUGCUCACCUGCAGCUGGGCUCCAAGGAUGAUUUGACGGGAAUGCCCCCCACCCUUUCUUUAUAAGCAC